CCCUACGGGGGGCAGCAGUGAGGAAUAUUGGUCAAUGGUCGGGAGACUGAACCAGCCAAGCCGCGUGAGGGAGGAAGGUACAGAGUAUCGUAAACCUCUUUUGUCAGGGAACAAAGGCGGGGACGUGUCCCCGGAUGAGUGUACCUGAAGAAAAAGCAUCGGCUAACUCCGUGCCAGCAGCCGCGGUAAUACGGAGGAUGCGAGCGUUAUCCAGAUUCAUUGGGUUUAAAGGGUGCGCAGGCGGUCUGUUAAGUCAGCGGUCAAAGCCCGGGGCUCAACCCCGGCCCGCCGUUGAAAAUGGCAGU
rnacentral:rRNA from 1 species